rnacentral:piRNA from 1 species
UUUGGAUCUCGCCUCAAGACA